UAAUGUUUGAUGUUCUAACGUGGACCCGUGAUCCGGGUUGCGGACAGUGUCUGGUGGGUAGUUUGACUGGGGCGGUCUCCUCCUAAAGAGUAACGGAGGAGCACGAAGGUUGGCUAAUCCUGGUCGGACAUCAGGAGGUUAGUGCAAUGGCAUAAGCCAGCUUGACUGCGAGCGUGACGGCGCGAGCAGGUGCGAAAGCAGGUCAUAGUGAUCCGGUGGUUCUGAAUGGAAGGGCCAUCGCUCAACGGAUAAAAGGUACUCCGGGGAUAACAGGCUGAUACCGCCCAAGAGUUCAUAUCGACGGCGGUGUUUGGCACCUCGAUGUCGGCUCAUCACAUCCUGGGGCUGAAGUAGGUCCCAAGGGUAUGGCUGUUCGCCAUUUAAAGUGGUACGCGAGCUGGGUUUAGAACGUCGUGAGACAGUUCGGUCCCUAUCUGCCGUGGGCGCUGGAGAACUGAGGGGGGCUGCUCCUAGUACGAGAGGACCGGAGUGGACGCAUCACUGGUGUUCGGGUUGUCAUGCCAAUGGCACUGCCCGGUAGCUAAAUGCGGAAGAGAUAAGUGCUGAAAGCAUCUAAGCACGAAACUUGCCCCGAGAUGAGUUCUCCCUGAGACUUUAGGUCUCCUGAAGGAACGUUGAAGACGACGACGUUGAUAGGCCGGGUGUGUAAGCGCAGCGAUGCGUUGAGCUAACCGGUACUAAUGAACCGUGAGGCUUAACCUUACAACGCCGAAG
rnacentral:rRNA from 4 species